GGACUACUGGGGUAUCUAAUCCUGUUUGCUCCCCACGCUUUCGCGUCUCAGCGUCAAUAUCGGUCCAGGUAGCCGCCUUCGCCACCGGUGUUCCUCCUAAUAUCUACGGAUUUCACUCCUACACUAGGAAUUCCACUACCCUCUCCCGUAUUCAAGUCUCCCAGUAUCCAAUGCACUUCCUGGGUUGAGCCCAGGGCUUUCACAUCAGACUUAAGAGACCGCCUACACGCGCUUUACGCCCAAUAAAUCCGAACAACGCUUGCACCCUCCGUAUUACCGCGGCUGCUGGCAC
rnacentral:rRNA from 1 species